GACGAACGCUGGCGGCGUGCUUAACACAUGCAAGUCGAACGAAGUGGCGAACGGGUGAGUAACGCGUAAUCAACCUGCCCUUCAGAGGGGGACAACAGUUGGAAACGACUGCUACUACCGCAUAAUGAAGAAGGGGCUUGCGUCUGAUUAGCGAGUGGGAGGGGGAACGGCCCACCAAGGCGAUGAUCAGUAGCCGUGGUGCGAGGGUGAACGGCCAAAAUUGGACGGAGACACGGCCCCGACUCCUACGGGAGGCAGCCGUGGGGAAGCUUCCGAAAUGGACGAAAGUCUGACGGCGCAACGCCGGGGUGGUGAUGACGGCCUUCGGGUUGUAAAGCUCUGUUAAUCGGGACGCGGUACCGGAAUAGAAAGCCACGGCUAACUACGUGCCAGCAGCCGCGGUAAUAC
rnacentral:rRNA from 1 species